rnacentral:rRNA from 1 species
AGUGAACGCUGGCGGUAGGCCUAACACAUGCAAGUCGAACGGCAGCACAGUAAGAGCUUGCUCUUACGGGUGGCGAGUGGCGGACGGGUGAGGAAUACAUCGGAAUCUACUUUUUCGUGGGGGAUAACGUAGGGAAACUUACGCUAAUACCGCAUACGACCUACGGGUGAAAGCAGGGGAUCUUCGGACCUUGCGCGAUUGAAUGAGCCGAUGUCGGAUUAGCUAGUUGGCGGGGUAAAGGCCCACCAAGGCGACGAUCCGUAGCUGGUCUGAGAGGAUGAUCAGACACACUGGAACUGAGACACGGUCCAGACUCCUACGGGAGGCAGCAGUGGGGAAUAUUGGACAAUGGGCGCAAGCCUGAUCCAGCCAUACCGCGUGGGCGAAGAAGGCCUUCGGGUUGUAAAGCCCUUUUGUUGGGAAAGAAAAGCAGCAGGUUAAUACCCCGCUGUUCUGACGGUACCCAAAGAAUAAGCACCGGCUAACUUCGUG